UACAGAGGGUGCGAGCGUUGUCCGGAAUCACUGGGCGUAAAGGGCGCGUAGGCGGCUUGAUAAGCGUGCGGUGAAAGCCCGGGGCUCAACCCCGGGUCGGCCGUGCGAACUGUCGAGCUGGAGCACUGUAGAGGCAGGUGGAAUUCCGGGUGUAGCGGUGGAAUGCGUAGAGAAUCCGGAAGAACACCGGUGGCGAAGGCGGCCUGCUGGGCAGUGGCUGACGCUGAGGCG
rnacentral:rRNA from 1 species